GGAAUGCGCGUAUCUUUCAAUUUACGGCACCGAUCUUGUAAUGAAAAACUUCGACCAUUUUAGUGAAGCGUGCAAGGCGUAUGUGUUAAAUAACUCAACGUGACAUUAUAUGGUAUUAUGGGUCCCAAAAAGAAUAUGUGUGUGUUUCGUGGUGCAGCGAAAAACUAUAUAGAAUCAAACUUUGCAUUGUCUUUGCAAGUAGACAACAAUUGUAAAAAUGGGCAUAUUCUGUUUGUAUUCGUUAGCAAUAAUGAAUCACAUCAAUUAACUAUUGAGCAGGUUAAUAAACUUUAUGGCUUCAAUAUUUGUUACAGUCAUACUAAACUUCUUGUUAAUGUAUCAAAAAAAUGGGCUUGCAAUUUUUUAAGAGAUUCAAAACAUUUUGUUGACUUCUGCAACGAGCCUUUUAUUUGUCAAGCAGCAACAUUUCCAGCAACAGAUUCAUUUCAGUCAAGUCCAAGUUCAAGUAAAACUGUUUCGUAUUUGUCAGUUGCCUCAUCUCCUAAACAUAAAAGUAUUUUGUCUUCACCUAAUAAAAAAAGUCCUUUGUUAUCCAGGUUAAGAGCUGACCAGUUGACUCCAAGAAAAAAACUCCUCAAACAUAGAUUAAGUGUUUUUGCUACUGAAAUUGCUACUGAAAAACGAAAGCAUAGAGAGGAUGUAAAGGUGUUAAAAGAAAAAAUUAAAACAAGGCCAAGAUUUAAACAUCUCAAUGAGACUAUUGCUCGCAAAGAAAAGACAAUUCGAAGUUUGCGGAAUAAGUUAAAAGUUCAACGUCUAAACUUACAGCUGAAUAAGCUUCAAAUUUCAAAUUUUCGUUUGAAAAAAGAACUGCAAUUCACCCAAACAAAGCUGUCUAAUGAAGAAGUUAUCUUACGUCAACAACUUGCUGACAAGAAUGUAGAGAUUAAUGUCCUGCAAAAUGAUAUGCUUAUUUUACAGGAAAAGAUAGAGCAAAUGCAGCAGAAAGUACAAAGCACCAGAUGUAAAAAAGUCUACUCAUCUGAUAUUAGGGCACUUAUCUAUGACAUGCUAGCAUGUCAAGUUCCUACACACAGUGUGCCCCAACUUCUUCAUAAAGUAGGAGAACACUUUGGGUAUAGAUUUAGUGACAUUCCACAUCGCAAAACUGUGGAGCAGAUGAUGCACGAGCUGGGUAUUAUUUCAGAACUCCAGGCUGCUGAGAUAGCAUUCUCAACAAAAAAUUUGACUCUUGGUUUUGAUGCCACAACCCAGGAGGGUGUUCAUGUCAAUGUUGUGCACUUAACAAAUGAAUCUUCGUGUAUGGUUGUAGCCAUUGACCAGCUUGCUGGUGGUACAUCUUAUGACUAUAUGAGUCAUAUUACAAAGUCUGUGGAUAAUCUUGCUAAGUUGUAUAGUGACUUUUACCGGAAACAAUAUACUGAUGUACGAAGCACGAUUAUCAGCAACAUAACAAACACAAUGAGUGACAGAGUGGCAGUGAACCAUGCAACUAUAACAAAGUUAAACACUUUUUGGCAAAAAUCUCUAAAUGAACUGAACUGUCACCUUCACCCAUUGGAUACAAUUACUUCUGCUUGCAAGUCAUCGCUUAAAGCUUUGGAAACUUCAAAAGGGAAACUUUUUGGUAGAGAUUGUUUUGCAGCAAACAUUGUUGUUCAGUUAAAUAAACUCCGUUACAAGGAUGGUAAAGGUGAUCCAAAAGGCUUUGUCACCUUUUUGGACAAGCAUGGUCUUCCUAGAGGACUUAUACCACGCUAUAGGGGAAAUCGAUUGCACAUACUUUUUCAUACAUGUGGAACUUUAAUACAUCACUACCAGAAACUUCAGAGUUUUCUGUUUUCUGGAGUAGUGUUAUGUGGAGGACUGAGAAAUAGUCUUUUCCAAGACUUCACAUCUGAUACAGGUAUACGCGAGAUGUGUGCUCUAGGUUUAAUUGGAAAGUUAGUGACUGGUCCCUGGAUGAAAAAAUUCUAUGUGGCGCCAGGACAAGGACUUGACUAUUUGUCUGGCAUCCAAGUGAUCAAAAAUGUUUGCAAUGCACUUGUUGAAAGCAGCGCAGAAGCUCUUUCCCUUAUUCACCGAAAAACAGAUUUUUUUGGAGGUGAUCUCAAUGAUCCAGUUUUUCAAUCACUCAUAGGCUUUUGCCCAAGGACUGAUGAAAUGAGAGAUGCAUUAGCCAGCUGUCUAAAUGCUGUCAUUAGUGUUAUUAACCGUCAGUAUGAGCGACAGUUUACUAUGACUUUAACUGACCAACUCAAGUCCCAGACAUUAUCAGCACGUCCACAUAAUAUUGACUGUGAAGAACUUGUGGGUAUGUUUAGUGCUGCAAAGCAAAAAGCUCCUAAUGCCACACUUUGUUAUUUGUCUUCGAAAAUUCGCGCAUGCAAGAAUAAGACAGCUGAUUUUCUUUCUGAAAAACCUACUGAUAUACGAAAUAAAUUGAUAGCCUGGUCUAUUUCUUCAGCCGGUAAAAAGCGCUUAGCAAACAUGCAAUGCCAUGAAAAAAAGAAGGCAGAAUUGAUUAAACGCAUGGCUAAAAAGAUUCAAAAUAAGGAGGAGAAAGAAAGAAGAAAAGUGGAAAAAAUAUUUAAAAAAUGCGUACCUCUACAGGUAAAACAACUCUUCCCAGAUCUAGAAAAUAAUGAAGCUGCAGAUAUUGAAGACAUUCUCAAUGGAGAUGCUGUUGGAAGAAGUAUAUGCCACAUGUGGUAUGAUGCUGACACUAAAAGCCAGGAUAUGUACUAUGGCAGGCUUCUUAGCAUUAAAAAAAAAAAUAAUGCUUUAUAUAUAGUUUCUUAUUGGAAACCAAAUGAAAAUGAGGAUGAUGAUGCUGUUGAAUAUGAUAUGAGCAAAUAUCAAUUAUCUGCAGACAUCAUAAGCGGUGAUUUGAUGUUAUCAUAAGCAAAUUAUGGUAACAAUCUUAUGAUAAGUAUGAUAAUUUAAUUAUGAUAAAUUAUGAUAGUAAUAUUAUGCUUUAUGUGUUAUUUAAUACGGUAUUGUGUGUUUUUUAUUAUGUGUUUAUAUAUGUGUUAAGGUUAUAUUUUGUAUAUAUUUUGUAAGUAUUUAUGUUUAAUAAAUGUGUAAAUCACUGUAUUAUAUAAAGGGUAUUAUGUGUUAUAAUGUUAUGCUUUUAUAGUUUAAAAGUAUUUAUUAUGUUGUUUCCAUGGUUUCAAAGUGGUGUGACUUGGCUUUGUUUACAGCAAGGGUGUUGUCCUUGCUAGCCAAGCGGUGUACUUUGAAUAUUGUGACUUGGCUUUGUUUAUGGCAAGAGUGUUGUCCUUGCUAGCCAAGCGGUGUACUUUAAAUAAUGUGACUUGGCUUUGUUUAUGGCAAGAGUGUUGUCCUUGCUAGCCAAGCGGUGUACUGUCAUGAAACACAUAAUAAAGUCUGUUGUAAUCACAAAAUGUGUACUUAUAAGUAUGUUAUGCUGUUAGUAAAUAAAAAAAGUUCUAUAAAAUCUGGAUAACUCAAUAACCCUUAAUAACUUGAAUUAAUUUUGAAAUUUCAAUUGAUCCAAUUGUUUAUGGAAUAUGCUUUCAAUAAUCCUAAACAUUUUCUAAUAAGCUAAUUUCUUGGUCCCUUGGUGGUUUCAGUUAUUGAGUGUUUACUGUAACGUUUUGUGCUAUUUGUUAAUCGUGUGAUGUUAUUGUUGUGAUGUUUUGUGUUGAUAGACGACUUGGCUUACCUUCACGUCGGUGUCUAUCGUUAAAAAUGAUUAUUGGAUUGUUUCAUUACUGAAACUGAUUAUAUAUAAUCAUUCACUAAAAGCCAAGGAUUCAAUUUUUAUAUUAAAAUGUAAAGAAUUAUCUUUUUUUAAUUAUUUUUAGCGUUGCUUUUUUUAAAAAGAGUUCAUAGUCCAAACUUGCAACAAUAAAUCUUGAAAUUUUUCACAAAAAUACGCACACAAAAAAAUCUCUUAAAGUUGAAUUCCUUCUCUUAUUGUUGAUCGUUUUCUAAAAGCCAAAAGGAAGUUUUGUUAAUUUUUAUACCAUUUACUAAAGGCUAUACAAUAAAAAAACAAUUCCAUUUGAUUUUAUAAAGUACU